GACGAACGCUGGCGGCGUGCUUAACACAUGCAAGUCGAACGGAAAGGCCCUGCUUUUGUGGGGUGCUCGAGUGGUGAACGGGUGAGUAACACGUGAGUAACCUGCCCUUGACUUUGGGAUAACUUCAGGAAACUGGGGCUAAUACCGGAUAGGAGCUCCUGCUGCAUGGUGGGGGUUGGAAAGUUUCGGCGGUUGGGGAUGGACUCGCGGCUUAUCAGCUUGUUGGUGGGGUAGUGGCUUACCAAGGCUUUGACGGGUAGCCGGCCUGAGAGGGUGACCGGCCACAUUGGGACUGAGAUACGGCCCAGACUCCUACGGGAGGCAGCAGUGGGGAAUAUUGCACAAUGGGCGGAAGCCUGAUGCAGCAACGCCGCGUGCGGGAUGACGGCCUUCGGGUUGUAAACCGCUUUCGCCUGUGACGAGGCGUGAGUGACGGUAGUGGGUAAAGAAGCACCGGCUAACUACGUG
rnacentral:rRNA from 1 species